CCUACGGGAGGCAGCAGUGAGGAAUAUUGGACAAUGGGCGCAAGCCUGAUCCAGCCAUGCCGCGUGCAGGAUGACGGUCCUAUGGAUUGUAAACUGCUUUUGUACGAGAAGAAACACUCCGACGUGUCGGAGCUUGACGGUAUCGUAAGAAUAAGGAUCGGCUAACUCCGUGCCAGCAGCCGCGGUAAU
rnacentral:rRNA from 1 species